GAGCAAAAAAUAUAUAAAUAAAUAAUAAAUAAAAAACCUUAAACACAAUCAGCUAAAGGCCCAUUAAUUUCUUACACCCAAUCCACUAAAGGCCCAUUGAUUUCUUUUUUAUUUGGAAAACUAUGGACGGCAACCCUGAGAGGCGGAAUACCCUUUUCUUACUGAGAUCACGAACACUACACUAGAGCUUUCCCUUUAGGGCGUCAGUUGUCACUUCCAAUUAUGGCCUCAGCGAUAAAGAAGAGGGGAGCAGCGACGAAGAAGAGGGGAUCAGCGACACGAGUGGCAACCAGAGGGGAGUGAUCAGUGAACGACGAAGACCAGCGACCGAUGAAGCAGCGACCGGCGAGUAGCGGCUGGCGAUCAGCGACGAAGGCCAGCGAACAGUUCUACCAACGAGCGAGCAAGGACGAAGGAUUACUACUCUCUAUUUCUUGCACAACAAAGAUGUGAAGCACAGCGAUGACCAAGACUCAAGCCAAGUUGUAUAGAAAUAAAUGUUAUGAAUUACUUAGCUAAUUACAAGGGAUGGUGUUAAUUUGUUGGGAUUUUUGUAUGCCAAUUGGAUUGUGAAUAUUUUAUAUUGAAUAAUAUGUAUUGAUUAAUUCAUAAGA